AUUGAACGCUGGCGGUAGGCCUAACACAUGCAAGUCGAACGGCAGCACAGUAAGAGCUUGCUCUUACGGGUGGCGAGUGGCGGACGGGUGAGGAAUACAUCGGAAUCUACUUUUUCGUGGGGGAUAACGUAGGGAAACUUACGCUAAUACCGCAUACGACCUACGUGUGAAAGCAGGGGAUCUUCGGACCUUGCGCGAUUGAAUGAGCCGAUGUCGGAUUAGCUAGUUGGCGGGGUAAAGGCCCACCAAGGCGACGAUCCGUAGCUGGUCUGAGAGGAUGAUCAGCCACACUGGAACUGAGACACGGUCCAGACUCCUACGGGAGGCAGCAGUGGGGAAUAUUGGACAAUGGGCGCAAGCCUGAUCCAGCCAUACCGCGUGGGUGAAGAAGGCCUUCGGGUUGUAAAGCCCUUUUGUUGGGAAAGAAAAGCAGCAGGUUAAUACCCCGCUGUUCUGACGGUACCCAAAGAAUAAGCACCGGCUAACUUCGUG
rnacentral:rRNA from 1 species